GAUGAAGAACGCAGCGAAAUGCGAUAAGUAAUGUGAAUUGCAGAAUUCAGUGAAUCAUCGAAUCUUUGAACGCAACUUGCGCUCUCUGGUAUUCCGGAGAGCAUGCCUGUUUGAGUGUCAUGAAAUCUCAACCAUUAGGGUUUCUUAAUGGCUUGGAUUUGGAGGCUGCCAUUCUAAAUGGCUCCUCUUAAAGGAGUUAGCAAGUUUUACUAUUGCUAUCUGGCGUAAUAAGUUUCGCUGGAAUGGUAUUGUGAAGCGUGCUUCUAAUCGUCUUCGGACAAUUACUUUGACUCUGGCCUCAAAUCAGGUAGGACUACCCGCUGAACUUAAGCAUAUAAAUAAGCGGAGGA
rnacentral:misc_RNA from 1 species